rnacentral:rRNA from 1 species
GGGUCAGUAGGUUGGUCGUGCCACCGGUACGUACUGGUCUCACUGAUUCCUCCUUCCUGAAGAACCGUAAUGCCAUUAAUUUGGUGUUGCGGGGAAACAGGACUGUUACUUUGAAAAAAUUAGAGUGUUUAAAGCAAGCUAACGCUUGAAUACAUUAGCAUGGAAUAAUGAAAUAGGACGAUCGAUCCUAUUUUGUUGGUUUCCGGGAUUGACGUA